AGUCGCCAAUUGAAUUCCUUUUGCAUUAAUAUUCAUGUAGGUGUAUCUCAGAGUGACUUUAUGUGUGUUCAUAUUUGGAUCUGAGAAUUGAACCUGUUCAUAUGCAGCUUGAUGAGGCAUUUAGGUGAGGUCAGUACAAUGCUCACUUGACAAGGAUUCAUGAAACGACGUCAGGUUUAGGUCAGGUUGAGAAAGGAGCACGGCAGCAACAUGUAAAAGCCUUUCGAAGUUGUGAAUGAGAGAAGAGCAAGCACCUAUGUCGGCGAGGAGAUCCUCGUCGCGGCCGUGGCAGGGCGUCUGUGCAGCUGCACCUGUCUUGGGAACAGCACAUCGUCGUGGCCGUCGUCGAGUGACUCGGUGACCUCGUCGUCGCGGCCGUAGUCGGAUGCCUCGGCGGCUGCGCAGGGCAGCGACGUCGCGGCCGUCGUCGGUGCGGCCGUCGUCGGAUGCCUCGGCGGCUGCGCAGGGCAGCGACGUCGCGGCCGUUGUCGGGUGCCUCAGCGGCUGCGCAGGGGCAUGUAAUCUGGACGUCGAGCCUGGAUUGAUUCCCGCAAAUUGAGCUUAGUUGUUUCCAUGUUGUUUUCCGUGUAUGACUCUCCGUGUAUUUUGGGCGUGGGUUGUUUACUGAUUAUUUUUUUGAGAAAAGGACGUGGGUUUACCUGUA